UGGGGAAUCUUAGACAAUGGGGGAAACCCUGAUCUAGCCAUGCCGCGUGGACGAUGAAGGCCCUAGGGUUGUAAAGUCCUUUCAGCUGGGAAGAUAAUGACGGUACCAGCAGAAGAAGCCCCGGCUAACUCCGUGCCAGCAGCCGCGGUAAUACGGAGGGGGCUAGCGUUGUUCGGAAUUACUGGGCGUAAAGCGCACGUAGGCGGAUUGGAAAGUUAGAGGUGAAAUCCCAGGGCUCAACCCUGGAACUGCCUUUAAAACUAUCAGUCUAGAGUUCGAGAGAGGUGAGUGGAAUUCCGAGUGUAGAGGUGAAAUUCGUAGAUAUUCGGAGGAACACCAGUGGCGAAGGCGGCUCACUGGCUCGAUACUGACGCUGAGGUGCGAAAGCGUGGGGAGCAAACAGGAUUAGAUACCCCCGUAGUCC
rnacentral:rRNA from 1 species